UAUGAACUAUUUGUUAUAUGUCACAGUGCUUCCCCAAAAUGUCUGUAUAUUGAACCAAAUUUAACCAAUAGUUACAUCAUAUGAUAUCAUUAAAUUCUAUUGAAGAGCAUAACUGCAAACCCCAGUGGUGCUGCUGUAGUCACUGCUUUUAUUUGCAGCUUCUCCUAAUAUUGCUACAUACUAAAAAGAAUACAUUUUUUUCUAGACAAUAAAACUAAAACAUGCGACAGUA